rnacentral:rRNA from 1 species
GACAACGCUGGCGGCGUGCCUCAUACAUGCAAGUCGAGCGGCUGUAGCAAUACAGCAGCGGCGGACGGGUGAGUAACACGUGGGCAACCUGGCCUUAAGAGGGGGAUAACGUUUCGAAAGGAACGCUAAUACCGCGUAACGCAGAGAGAUCGCAUGAUUUCAUUGCAAAAGGAGAAAUCCGCUUAAGGAUGGGCCCGCGGCCUAUUAGCUAGUUGGUAAGGGUAAUGGCCUACCAAGGCGACGAUAGGUAGCCGACCUGAGAGGGUGAACGGCCACACUGGAACUGAGAACGGUCCAGACUCCUACGGGAGGCAGCAGUAGGGAAUAUUCCGCAAUGGGCGAAAGCCUGACGGAGCAACGCCGCGUGAGUGAAGAAGAUCUUCGGAUUGUAAAGCUCUGUCAACAGGGACGAUAAUGACGGUACCUGUGGAGGAAGCCACGGCAAACUACGUG